rnacentral:rRNA from 1 species
AGUGAACGCUGGCGGCGUGCCUAAUACAUGCAAGUCGAACGCGAAAGUCCUUCGGGAUGAGUAAAGUGGCGCACGGGUGAGUAAUACAUGGGAACAUGCCCUUGGAUGGGGAAUAACGUUUGGAAACGAACGCUAAUACCGCAUAAUCUCGCGAGAGUAAAGGUGGCGCCGCAAGGGCUACCGUCCAAGGAUUGGCCCAUGUCCCAUUAGCUAGUUGGCGGGGUAAUGGCCCACCAAGGCAACGAUGGGUAACUGGUCUGAGAGGAUGAUCAGUCACACUGGAACUGAGACACGGUCCAGACUCCUACGGGAGGCAGCAGUAGGGAAUAUUGCACAAUGGGGGAAACCCUGAUGCAGCAACGCCGCGUGAGUGAAGAAGGCCCUUGGGUUGUAAAGCUCUUUAGCGUGGGAAGAAGGUAGAUAUGGUGAAUAAUCAUGUUUGCUGACGGUACCACGAGAAUAAGCACCGGCUAAUUUCGUGCCAGCAGCCGCAGUAA